rnacentral:rRNA from 1 species
GAUGAACGCUGGCGGCGUGCCUAAUACAUGCAAGUCGAGCGAACAGACGAGGAGCUUGCUCCUCUGACGUUAGCGGCGGACGGGUGAGUAACACGUGGAUAACCUACCUAUAAGACUGGGAUAACUUCGGGAAACCGGAGCUAAUACCGGAUAAUAUAUUGAACCGCAUGGUUCAAUAGUGAAAGACGGUUUUGCUGUCACUUAUAGAUGGAUCCGGGCCGUAUUAGCUAGUUGGUAAGGUAACGGCUUACCAAGGCGACGAUGCGUAGCCGACCUGAGAGGGUGAUCGGCCACACUGGAACUGAGACACGGUCCAGACUCCUACGGGAGGCAGCAGUAGGGAAUCUUCCGCAAAGGGCGAAAGCCUGACGGAGCAACGCCGCGUGAGUGAUGAAGGUCUUCGGAUCGUAAAACUCUGUUAUUAGGGAAGAACAAAUGUGUAAGUAACUAUGCACGUCUUGACGGUACCUAAUCAGAAAGCCACGGCUAACUACGUG